rnacentral:lncRNA from 1 species
AUUUCCACGCAACCCCACACCUCACGACACCCUUUUUCUAUUGGUCUAAAUUUAUAAACUCAACGCAGAGGAAGAAUUCUUGAAAUUUGACAAGCUGAUGUUGCUGUGUUUUUCGUGUACAGAUGGAGGACGAAUUAGAAGAAGAAGAGGGAUGUAUAUCUUAUGUUUAUGUAAAUGAUCAUCGUAUAUUUGUGCUUAUGUCGUAAAUAAUUGGAAUAUUGAAUUUGUACUGUGAAAAUUAUGGUGAAAGAGAAAAGGGAUAUUAGGCCGGAGCUUUUGAAAUUUGG